rnacentral:rRNA from 1 species
UAGGGAAUCUUCCGCAAUGGGCGAAAGCUUGACGGAGCAACGCCGCGUGAGUGAUGAAGGUCUUCGGAUCGUAAAACUCUGUUAUUAGGUAAGAACAAAUGUGUAAGUAACUAUGCACGUCUUGACGGUACCUAAUCAGAAAGCCACGGCUAACUACGUGCCAGCAGCCGCGGUAAUACGUAGGUGGCAAGCGUUAUCCGGAAUUAUUGGGCGUAAAGCGCGCGUAGGCGGUUUUUUAAGUCUGAUGUGAAAGCCCACGGCUCAACCGUGGAGGGUCAUUGGAAACUGGAAAACUUGAGUGCAGAAGAGGAAAGUGGAAUUCCAUGUGUAGCGGUGAAAUGCGCAGAGAUAUGGAGGAACACCAGUGGCGAAGGCGACUUUCUGGUCUGUAACUGACGCUGAUGUGCGAAAGCGUGGGGAUCAAACAGG